rnacentral:rRNA from 1 species
GAUGAACGCUGGCGGCGUGCCUAAUACAUGCACGUCGAGCGAACGGACGAGAAGCUUGCUUCUCUGAUGUUAGCGGCGGACGGGUGAGUAACACGUGGAUAACCUACCUAUAAGACUGGGAUAACUUCGGGAAACCGGAGCUAAUACCGGAUGAUAUUUUGAACCGCAUGGUUCAAAAGUGAAAGACGGUCUUGCUGUCACUUAUAGAUGGAUCCGCGCUGCAUUAGCUAGUUGGUAAGGUAACGGCUUACCAAGGCAACGAUGCAUAGCCGACCUGAGAGGGUCAUCGGCCACCCUGGAACUGAGACACGGUCCAGACUCCUACGGGAGGCAGCAGUAGGGAAUCUUCCGCAAUGGGCGAAAGCCUGACGGAGCAACGCCGCGUGAGUGAUGAAGGUCUUCGGAUCGUAAAACUCUGUUAUUAGGGAAGAACAUAUGUGUAAGUAACUGUGCACAUCUUGACGGUACCUAAUCAGAAAGCCACGGCUAACUACGUG